rnacentral:misc_RNA from 1 species
GUGUUUAGUUCGAGAGGGGGCUCCUUAACUCCAAUUCAGGGUUUGACCUGAAGCAGUCCUGGUCCAGUUCAAGGGCCAAAUUGGCCCUUGGCCGAGUUUAUGGACUGGGUUUGCUGCAUGUCCCAUCUGAUAAUUUCAAUGGAAGUACUGAAACUUAGAAGUGAAUUCAUUGAAUGUAAGUCCAUUCAGGGAAAGUUUUUUUUUUUUUUUUUU